rnacentral:misc_RNA from 1 species
AGACAGUCCAAUUUUGUGGUCGCCUGUAUUUGAAGUUGUUUCUGAUUUUGAGGGCUCUGCUGCAUUUUUCCUUCAUGGUAGGGAGAAUGGAACUGACUAUGUUUAUCCUGGUUCGCUUAAGAAGGUCGAGAGGACUUGCAAUGUGCUUUUGUUAGAGGUUGAGCCUCAGCAGUACACAAGUGGGGGUAAGUUGUUCCACAGCAAGAGUUUUCUUCAUCUUUCAGAGAAUGAGGCAUCACGGAAGAUAUGCAGAUCCACUAAUGGGGUUUCUGUGUCAGAGAGGGUAACAGAACAGCGCGCAACAACAGUGCCCUUUGGACGGCUUGCAUUUGUUGAUAGGAGAAAGUUGCUUGACACAGUUACUAAUCAAGUUCGUCAAACGCUGCCAGAUGCUAAAGAUGCCAUAUUAUUUCCUUGUUUGAGAAGAGAGGAGGCUGAUUUACGGGAGAAUAUGAAACUCUUGUAUGAAAGGAGAUUGCUCUUCAUGCAAAUGUACGAUGGUGGUGGUGGUUUUACUGUCUGGAAGGCUGGUUCGGAGUUGCCUUUGCAUCCUUCUCCUGUCGGAUUGAGUGAGUUCAGACAGAAUCUUGAUCUGAUAAGUGGCUGUCAUGCCUCACAAACUGCUACUGAUCAUGAGAGUCGGAGUCGGAAGUCACUUGCUGGAUAUGUUAAACACAGUCUAAAAUAUAUACUCAAGAAGUCAAACUCUACCAAUGGCAAACGUGAUCUCCUUGGAAAGAAUUCCUCUGGCCACGGAAGUAAGCAUGCCCAGCUUCACGAGUUCCUGCAGCCAGGUGAUGCAAUAGGGCUGACAUUACAUGCUUCCACUGUGAAGUUAUCCUCUUAUCGUGCUUGGCCAAAUAUGCAUGAAAGUAAAUUUGCUCUGUACAAGUUGCCUAUGCGGACACCAGAAGUGGGCCAAGAAUAUGCUGGUGUAUGGGGAGGGACUUUUGGUUGGCCCCCGGGGAGGCCUUCUGAUGAUAAGCCCGGAAAAGCAUUGUUUCUUCUUUUGCUGUCUUAUGAGGAGUCCCAAGGUCAGAAGCUACUUAUUGCGACCAAGAUAUUAGAAGGUACACAUUAUGUUUUGCAUCCUAAUGGCUCAGCUAUGUUUAUAGUAAAUAUUGAAGAGCCUUCGAAUGAUCCAUUCCCUUGGUGCACCGAUGGGCAUGAUUCCAACCCUGUAGAUGUUAAGCAUGCUUUUAUGGGUGAAGGU